rnacentral:lncRNA from 1 species
GCCUUGGAUGGAAAGUGGGGAAUUGGGUGGGGGGCUGCGGACCCCUUAACGUGGAUUACUUGGUGUGUAUCAGCUGGGCUCAGAAGACCCACGACCUCUUCUCCAUCCGUGGAUUGAUUUGUUCUGCUUAACAGCUGGGUCGCCAAGCUGGAGGUGGAAUCAGAGGUUUCUGGCUGACUCGGUGGGUGCUUUGAACCAGGAAAGGACAAGAAAGAGGAACUCUGAAAGCCACAUGUUGAGAUGGCCCCAUUACAGGAUGGAGAGCACCUGAACCCCCAAGUUAUGGACUAGAAGAAGACAGUUGCCCUGGAAAAUCAUCUGACCCACAUUGGACUUUAUGUGAGGGGGAAAUAAACCUUUAUUAUGUUAAGCUACACAA